rnacentral:rRNA from 1 species
GUCUUGUAAUUGGAAUGAUGGUGACCCAAACCCUCACCAGAGUAGCAAUUGGAGGGCAAGUCUGGUGCCAGCAGCCGCGGUAAUUCCAGCUCCAAUAGCGUAUAUUAAACUUGUUGCAGUUAAAAAGCUYGUAGUUGUAUUUUUGCGUURRCGGUUUGACCAUUUGGUUGGUUAUUUCGUUUUCGCUUUUGGGAAUUUCCCUUUUUACUUUGAGAAAAUUAGAGUGUUUCAAGCAGACUUUUGUCUUGAAUACUUCAGCAUGGAAUAAUAGAGUAGGACUUUGGUUCUAUUUUGUUGGUUAUUGAACCUUAGUAAUGGUUAAUAGGAACGGUUGGGGGCAUUCGUAUUUAACUGUCAGAGGUGAAAUUCUUAGAUUUGUUAAAGACGAACUACUGCGAAAGCAUUUGCCAAGGACGUUUCCAUUAAUCAAGAACGAAAGUUAGGGGAUCGAAGACGAUCAGAUACCGUCGUAGUCCUAACCAUAAACUAUGCCGACUAGUGAUUGGAGGUCGUCGUUUUUUGGCCCCUUCAGGAACUUGAGAGAAAUCAAAGUCUUUGG